GGGGAGUUAGCUCACAUGGUAGAGCGCUUGCUUAGCACACGAGAAGUAGUAGGAUAGAGCCCGCAUUCUCCA
rnacentral:tRNA from 1 species